rnacentral:rRNA from 1 species
GAGUUUGAUCCUGGCUCAGAAUCAACGCUGGCGGCGUGCCUAAGACAUGCAAGUCGAACGGGACUUUUUCUGGUAGCAAUACCGGGAAAAGCUUAGUGGCGAACGGGUGCGUAACACGUGGGCAAUCUGCCGAGAAGUGGGGGAUAGCUCGCCGAAAGGCGAAUUAAUACCGCAUAUGAUCAGGGAAGACAUCUUUCCAACAUCAAAGCCGGGGCAACCUGGCGCUUCUUGAUGAGCCCGCGGCCUAUCAGCUAGUUGGUGAGGUAACGGCCCACCAAGGCGAUGACGGGUAGCUGGUCUGAGAGGACGACCAGUCACACUGGAACUGAGACACGGUCCAGACACCUACGGGUGGCAGCAGUCGAGAAUUUUUCUCAAUGGGGGAAACCCUGAAGGAGCGACGCCGCGUGGAGGAUGAAGGCUUUCGGGUUGUAAACUCCUGUCAUUUGGGAACAAUGCUUUUCGGUUAACUGCCGAGAAGUUGAUAGUACCAGAAGAGGAAGAGACGGCUAACUCUGUGCCAGCAGCCGCGGUAAUACAGAGGUCUCAAGCGUUGUUCGGAUUCAUUGGGCGUAAAGGGUGCGUAGGUGGCGUGGUAAGUCGGGUGUGAAAUUUCGGAGCUUAACUCCGAAACUGCAUUCGAUACUGCCGUGCUUGAGGACUGGAGAGGAGACUGGAAUUUACGGUGUAGCAGUGAAAUGCGUAGAGAUCGUAAGGAAGACCAGUGGCGAAGGCGGGUCUCUGGACGACUCCUGACACUGAGGCACGAAAGCUAGGGGAGCAAACAGGAUUAGAUACCCUGGUAGUCCUAGCUGUAAACGGUGCACGUUUGCUGUGAGAGGAAUCGACCCCUUUCGUGGCGAAGCUAACGCGCUAAACGUGCCGCCUGGGGAGUACGGUCGCAAGAUUAAAACUCAAAGAAAUUGACGGGGGCCUGCACAAGCGGUGGAGUAUGUGGCUUAAUUCGAUGCAACGCGAAGAACCUUACCUGGCCUUGACAUGCACGUAGUAGGAGCCUGAAAGGGUAACGACCCCGCAAGGGGAGCGUGCACAGGUGCUGCAUGGCUGUCGUCAGCUCGUGUCGUGAGAUGUUGGGUUAAGUCCCGCAACGAGCGCAACCCUUAUCGUUAGUUGCCAUCAGGUUAUGCUGGGCACUCUAGCGAAACCGCCUCGGAUAACGGGGAGGAAGGUGGGGAUGACGUCAAGUCCUCAUGGCCUUUAUGUCCAGGGCUACACACACGCUACAAUGGCCGGUACAACGGGUUCCGACACGGCGACGUGAAGGCAAUCCCUUAAAGCCGGUCUCAGUUCGGAUUGCAGGCUGCAACUCGCCUGCAUGAAGUCGGAGUUGCUAGUAACCGCAGGUCAGCACACUGCGGUGAAUACGUUCCCGGGCCUUGCACACAC